UACAGAGGGUGCGAGCGUUGAUCGGAUUUACUGGGCGUAAAGGGCGCGUAGGCGGUCAGAUGAGUGUGAUGUGAAAGCCCCGGGCUUAACCUGGGAAGUGCAUUGCAAACGAUCUGACUAGAGUACAAGAGAGGGUGGUGGAAUUUCCGGUGUAGCGGUGAAAUGCGUAGAUAUCGGAAAGAACGUCAAUGGCGAAGGCAGCCACCUGGCUUGAUACUGACGCUGAGGCGUGAAAGCGUGGGGAGCGAACAGG
rnacentral:rRNA from 1 species